AUUGAACGCUGGCGGCAGGCCUAACACAUGCAAGUCGAACGAGUGGCGGACGGGUGAGUAAUGUCUGGGAAACUGCCUGAUGGAGGGGGAUAACUACUGGAAACGGUAGCUAAUACCGCAUACCAUCGGAUGUGCCCAGAUGGGAUUAGCUAUUAGGUGGGGUAAAGGCUCACCUAGGCGACGAUCCCUAGCUGGUCUGAGAGGAUGACCAGCCACACCGGGACGGAGGCACGGUCCAGAAUCCUAAGGGAGGGAGGAGUGGGGAAUAUUGGAGAAUGGGCGCAAGCCUGAUGCAACCAUGGCGCGUGUAUGAAGAAGGUCUUCGGGUUGUAAAGUUCUUUCAGCGGGGAGACGUUACCCGCAGAAGAAGCACCGGCUAACUCCGUGCCAGCAGCCGCGGUAAUAC
rnacentral:rRNA from 1 species